rnacentral:lncRNA from 1 species
AACACCACCCCACUUCGAACAGGAGAGCAUAGUCAUGGCAACCUCUGCAAUCCAACAAUCAGCAUUUGCUGGCCAGACUGCUUUGAAGCAGUCAAAUGAGCUCAUCCGAAAGAUUGGCGGCCUUGGUGGCGGCCGCAUCACCAUGAGGCGCACCGUCAAAAGCACCCCCCAAAGCAUAUGGUAAGUACCUUGGCUCUAGCCUGUGAGAAUAAGAUAUUUUUUUCCAAGCAACUCUACUAAAACUUCCAUGUGUAUAGAUAUGGUCACUGAUACAUAUUACGCUAUUGGAGUAAAUUAAAGUAUCUAGUAGUAUUGAGAGUCAUGGAUUCGACGUAAACUUCUAAUCAAAAUGAUGUUUAGAUUACAAUGACAGAAUCUCUAACAAUCUAUUCUACCUCAAUGCAUAAAGUUACAGUGUUACAAGACCAACAUGCUCAACAUAGCAUUAGGAAGUUUACACCAUACCCAUACCUUUUAAAGCCAAGGCCUUGAGCUUAUUAUGCUAACCCUCUUCACUGUAAUUAACAAAACAGGUAUGGCCCAGACCGCCCAAAAUACUUGGGACCAUUCUCUGAGCAAACUCCAUCAUACUUGACUGGUGAAUUCCCUGGUGACUACGGAUGGGACACUGCUGGACUAUCCGCAGACCCUGAGACAUUUGCCAAAAACCGUGAGCUUGAGGUGAUCCACAGCCGAUGGGCCAUGCUUGGUGCACUGGGAUGUGUCUUCCCAGAAAUCCUGUCAAAGAAUGGUGUCAAGUUCGGCGAGGCUGUUUGGUUCAAGGCUGGAUCUCAAAUCUUCUCCGAGGGUGGCCUUGACUAUCUUGGCAACCCAAACCUUGUCCAUGCCCAGAGCAUCUUGGCAAUCUGGGCUGUCCAGGUUGUGCUCAUGGGAUUUGUCGAAGGAUACAGGGUUGGUGGAGGACCACUUGGUGAAGGACUGGAUCCACUUUACCCUGGAGGGGCCUUUGACCCACUUGGACUGGCUGAUGAUCCUGAGGCGUUUGCUGAACUGAAGGUGAAAGAGCUUAAGAAUGGGCGGCUGGCAAUGACUUCAAUGUUUGGAUUCUUUGUUCAGGCUAUUGUAACUGGAAAGGGCCCAGUUGAGAACCUAUAUGACCAUGUUGCUGAUCCAGUUGCCAACAAUGCAUGGGCUUAUGCCACCAACUUUGUCCCUGGAAAAUGAAGAAACCUAAAUGCAUGGCUGUUCAUAUGUAACAUUACCCGAACUUCUUGCCUUUGUUGAGGUUCUGUUGUUGUGGACUCCAUUAGUUCUGAUGUAAUCUUACUAGAAACUGCUUGUAUUGAAAUCACUUAUCCAGUAAAACCGCCCAGCUCCUUUGUGCUUGAACUCCUUAUUUGUCUAGAUGUGUUGAACAUUCAAAAGUUCCAGUCAACAAAUGCAUGCUUUGCUACAAUAUAGUAAAUCUAAACCAGAGAAUAAAUAUAUAACAACCAAAAUACAAGGGAAAAUAAAAAUUAAAACCAAAUCAUAUGAUUAUCAGAUUCAUCUUAGGUUUCUUCAUCUAUUCCUCCCCAUUAGGCAAAUUAAGUUUAACCAGCGCAUACAGAGAAUGUGGGAAAGAUUUCUGCAAACUUUUACCCACUGAACACUGGCUAUCAUCUCUAAUUUUAAUAUCAGCAUAAUGAAGACUGCCUAAGCUAUUAGUAUUACGGACACAUAGUAUAUGGAUUUGGCCAAUGCAGGGUGAAAGGAAUGAUGGGAAGAGCUAUCAUCUCUUACUAUAAUCUCAGUAUAAUGAAGAUUGCCCAAAUAGCUAAGGGCAGCCACAAUCCUGUUGCAAGAAAGGCUGUUUUGGGCUCUGGGCAAGCCAUACUGGUAUCGUGUCGAUAUAGAUGUCAACAUGUUUGUCAUAUGGAUGGUGAUAUGUUAUUUAUAUGGAUGUUGAUAUGUUGUCAGUGUGGAUGUCGAUAUGUUGUUGAGUAUCCCACUCCAGCUACAGUGGAGUGGGAUAUAUGUAUAUAAUAUUACACAAUAAGUGCCCACAAAGAGAAUGUACAAAACAAAGAGAAUCAGAGCACAAAGAGAAUGUAUGAAACAACAAAUUUGGAAAAUUUUCAGCAAACAAACUUUUGCCAACUGAAACUUUUCACAUGAUGGGAGGAGCUAUUAUCUUUCAGUAUAAUGAACAAUUCUUGUAGGGGUAACCAGUAUACAACGAAGAUUGCCUCUAAUACUAAGGGCACCUAGUGUACGAGCCUUCUGCCAAUGCAGGGUGAAAGAAGCGAUGGGAAUGACUAUUAUAUCUCACUGUCACUAUAAAUUCAGACUCUCUGUAUAAGAUAGCCUAUCUUGCACUAGUCUCUGGCCAAUUCAGCAUCUAGGGAGAGCAAGACCUAUGCAGUCAUAUCCCUGUAACAAGGGGGGCUGUUUUUGCUGGGGACAAUCAUUACAUCAAGAAACACCUUCAAGAAUGUCUAUACUGCUAAAUCUCAAAAGGAACACAAAGAAAUGCAUAAAAUCAGAAGAAAUGAUACCAGUGGCCAAUUUUAAGAGUGGAAGAAUAGAGGUAGAGGCAUUCUGAUGCUUAUUGCUUCGAGCAGAUCAACACAAGCGUCAAUGCAGCAGACAAACAAGUCAGUCACCAAAAAUCUUUGCAAGAACAUGACCCAUUUCUGAAAUGAUGGAAACGACUAUUAUCUCUCACAAUAAUCUCACGAUCAUAGAUACUGGAUAGGAGUUUAGUGACAGAGUGGCAAUCGUUACAGACACGAAGAUUCUUUAUAAUGCGAAUAGGACUCCCAGAUUCCAAAUUAAUAAGACCAUAUGCAAUAGCCAAUCUCUCGCUAUGGUUUUCCAAUUCAGCUUCCUUCUCUUUUUCCUCUUCAAGACACAACAGAACUUGACUUGUGUCAGGAACAUGUCCUUCGGAUUUCAGUUUCUCUCUCAUCUCAGUCAACUUAGAAUAUAUGUCUUUUGUCCGAGGAUGUGAUUUGUCACCGACAAUAAACCCAUGAAGCACACCUCUGUGCUCUAUGGAACUGCAUCCUGGGUCCUUUUUUACUCCUCUCUUUCUCAUAAUUUCUCUUACCUGUGAAACUUUCUCCCACUUAUCAGCCGCAGCAUACAUGUUAGAAAGAAGAACAUAGCAUCCAACAGUGUCUGGAGACACGUCAAUCAAAUGGCGAGCUGCAUAAUCACCAACUUCAACAUUUCCCUGGUUCCGAGCACCACUAAGCAAACUCAUCCAAAUUACUUUGUUUGGUUUCAUGGGCAUACCUUCAAUGACAUUCUUUGCCUCGUCCAGACAACCAGCGCGGCAUAAAAUGUCUACAAAACAACCAUAGUGUUCAAUUGUGGGUUCAAUUUCAUAAUCAUUUAUCAUCAGAUUGAAAUAGUAACGACCAAGAUCAACCAAUCCUGCAUGACUACAUGCAUUCAAGACUCCGAUAAAAGUUAUACUAUGAGGGCGCAUUCCAUUUUUGCGCAUCUCAAGGAAUAGCUCAAGAACCUGGUCGGCCAUACCAUGCAUUCCUAAACCAACAAUUAUAGCAGUCCAAUGCCCCAAUUUCUUCCUGUCUAUAGCUCGAAAUACAGCCAGAGCACUCUCUAUGCUCCCACACUUGGAAUACAAUUCUAUCAAUGAUGUACCAAGCACACCAUCUAAAUCAAAUCCAUGUUUUACCAUGAAAGAAUGUAUCCAUCUCCCCUUACUUAGAGUGGCUAAUCCUGAAACGGCAGAAAGAGCACUGACUAAUGUAGCAUGACUAGGCAUAAUAUCUUCUUCCAAAAUUUCCUGAAACAACUCCAAUGCUUCCAUAAACUGUCCAUUAAAUUCAUAACCUGCAAUCAUCGAAUUCCAAGUAAUUAUAUCUCUUGUUGGCAUCAGACCAAACAAUUGACGUGCCAUCUCAAAAUCUCCGGAUUUCAUGUAACCAUUAAUCAUGGCAUUCCAAGAAACCAAAUUUCUAUUUGGCAUCCUAUCAAAUAUCUCCCUAGCCAUCUCUACCUUCCCGCAUUUUGAUAACCCGUCAACUAAAACAGUCCACGAAAAAGAAUCUCUCUCCUGCAUUUGAUCAAACAAUUCCAUUGCAACUUCUACUUCUCCACAUCUCGCAUACCCAUCAAUCAAAGAAUUCCAAGUAACCAAAUCUCUAUCAAGCAUUUGAUCAAACACUUUCCUAGCCAAACCAAUCUCACCACACUUUGAGUAUAAACUAACCAAACUACUCUGCACAAACUUAUCCAAACCAAGCCCAAUUUUCAACACCAACCCAUGAAUCUGUUUCCCUUCCCCAAUCGCAUUUAACCGAGCACAACCCUUUAUCACACACGGUACAGUAAAAUUAUCCGGAACAAGUUCAUGAAGCAAUUCAUAGAACAAAACAAUAGCAUCAUGGGAACGUUGGUUCCCAACAUAGCAUUUGAUGAGAACGUUCCAGGAAACCAAGGUGGGUUCUUCAAUUUGAUCGAAGACGGAGCGAGCAGAGUCAAGAUUGUUGAUUUUGGGGUCUGCGUAGAGAGAUAAGAAACGGGAAGCAAUUGCUGGGUGGCUGAAAGUUCCGGUUUUGAGGGAUAUGGCGUGGUGUUGCUCUGCUUCUCGUUGGGUUUUACAGGUUUGGAGAAGCGAAAAGGGGAGGCUUUGAGGAGAGAGCAAUGGUUGAUGGAGAGAGUGAGAAGGCGUGAGUUGAAGCAUUGCUAUGGCUUUGGUGGAUCAGAUGAUUGACUGAAGGGCUCUGUGUGUGGCUUAUUAUAAAGGGAAAUAGCUCAAAAUAUCACCAAUUUUAUAAUUUUAUGUCAAAAUACCACCCCUUCUCAAAAAUUUUAAAACUAUGACCUAUAAAUACAUUUUUAUUGUAAAUUGAUUGCACCCAUAUCACAUUUUCAGAAAACCUGAGGGGAACUACGGGUUUAGAAUGACUUCGCCUCCGCCUCUUUUCUCGUUCGAUCGUCUACGGCCUCCGCUUCCUCUCUCCUUCGUUCUUCUACGCCCCUGCCUCCGCCUCUGCUUUUUCGAUUGUCUGCCUUCCUCCUCCUCCUCUGCUUUUUCGAUUGUCUACCUUCCUCCUCCUCCUCCUACUUGGCUCUUCUCCUUAGCUAUCAGCUAUUUCAUACCCAGAAGUGUUGGAUCCUGAGCAAGCAGUGAAAGGGCUAUCUGGUAAUCUAAUGACUAAUACUAUUAGUUGGAUAUGCUGUAUGUUUUCUCUUCAAAAUUCUAGAUUUAGUAGGGUUGGCAUACACUAUCAUGACCUGAUAUAUUUUCAGUCUGUUUUAAUUACUGGCUAUUAGGGUGUGGUUUGAAACUUUGACUGAUGGGGUGGGGGAGCUUGGACGGAGUUUUCUUAUUUUUGUGAAAUGGGUUUUGGAGGAUUAGGGAUUUUAGGGGAGUGUGUGAGUUCGCUGUUUUGGUGGAAGAUAUAUGCAGAAGGGUUAUGAUGAUGAUGGGGGUGGGUUUUUGUGUUUUGUUAAUUCUUUUGUUUGUCGGAAGAAGAAUGAGAUAUUUUUCCAACUCUUAUGAGUGAGUUGGGUUCAAAAGCAAUUAUUGUUGGUUUUAUAUUUUGAUUUAUUUGCAACUGUCUUUAUAGAAUUUAAUUUUUAAUAGUAAUAUAUGUAUUCUUCAUGAAUGGUUUUGCUCUGUUCAGGUGCGUCUGUCUACAUGGGUUUGUGCUUGAAGCAUAAUGCAAGUUUUGUUAAUAAAUUCUCUGUUUUAUGCUGUGCAGGUGUGAAUUGGAAUAAAUAAAAAAAAUUUGCUGGGUUUUUGAGACUUGUGAUGUUAUUCAUCAGUAUUCAUGCCUGGUUUCUUCUUGCAAUAAUUUUGUUGAUUGUGAGCUUUUCCCUCUAGCGCUUGUUGCUGAUACUGAUUGUGAAGGUGAAUUGGUUGUGCUUUAUGAUGUUUGAACCUCAUUUCUGUUUCUUCUCUUUCAUGCCAAUAGGUUGUAGGAAACUCCGCUCUCAAACAUAGGCAAUGAACAAUUGAGUUGACAUGCUGCUGGGAGAAUUGUUUGCAAUGCAGAGAAGACUUGUCUCUUACUUUUGUGAUGAUGAACUGGGUGAGAUUCUUUAAGAGUGAUGUGUCAUAUUUGAAUUUUUGAAUAUCAUAUUUUAGUUUUGUUUUUAAGUUUUGAACCUUGUUCUAUUUCAGCAUCCUAUAGACCUGUGUUAACUUAUAUCUACAUGUGAUAUGGAUAUAACUUAUGCUUUCAAAUUAAUUUGACUUGUGUUAUAUCUUGUUUCGUACCUUUGUUUCGAAAAUUUCUUUGUAAAGACCAAAAAGAAUAGUGUGUUUUUUUUUUUGGGUGGUAUUUUUGUUAAUGAUAAUUAUAGUAUUGAUUACUGGGUAGAGAAUGAGCUACAUUUUGUGCUUCAUGAAGUAAAAUGGCUGAGCAACUCAAAUUUGGUUUACACAACCAAGGCAAAAGGAAAAUACUAAUUUUGGAGCUUAUAUAUAGUGGUUAUAUAAGUUGCAGUUUUCGUUACUUGUAAAUCAUGAUUUCCUUAGCGUAUUUAAUUGCAUUGUGUUUCUCGUUUUGGGUAGAACAGAGUUUUCAAUGAUAGGAUUUAUUUGGAAAAAAGGAAUUCUGGUAGUUAUGCUGUGUUCUCUAUUUUUGCAUGAAAGUUGAAAGUAAGAUGUCCCCUUUAUAUGUGUGACAGCUUCAGGAUUAUGGCCUUCGUAUACUGAAGGGAAAUUGCUAUUUGAUCCUGUUAUAUCUUUUAUGGGACAAACAAAUGAGGGAAGUAGUGUUGAUUCAUCACAGAAAGCUGAGUCUUCAGAGCAUCCGCCAAAGGUUGACAAAUCAUCAGGGGAAUCUGAAUCUCCACAAAAACUCUCUACUGUUGAGGCAAAGGAAGGGGUCAAAAUAGAAACUUUACAACACUCUUCAACUGAACAGAUGGCUGAUAAGGAGGAAACUGAAGUUGUCAAGGAAGAAACAGAUGAUAAGCAUGCUGCGACGGUGGAGGAAACAAAGACAGUGAUAGCAGAGCCUGAAAAAUCUGAAUCUGAAUCAUCUUCACUGCCAGUUGAGCCCUUUGAACCCACUGUUAAGAAUGAUGGCCCAUCAGAAUCUGUGGGUUCUCAAGAUGACAACAAGAUUUCAGUAGUGGGACCCUCAGUAAAUCCAGAAACAAUGCAGGGUAAGUCAAGAGCUGUUGAGGUAGAUCAAGUUGAGGAGGGUCAUACUGUUCUCCGCGUGAGGCACAUGAUGUUGAUGUGGAUGAACAAAAGACACAGGUAGAGCAGAAGGAUGGACAUAUGACUCAGGCUGGAGAGAUUGUUGAAACAGUUGCUAUGGUUGAAGCUGAGACUCCAACUGAUAGCCAGCCUGGAGGUUUUCCUCUUUGCUAAUUUAGAAUCAUGUGCAGUUAUGAUUUUAGAUCUGUAGAUAACCUGUUGUUGCUGAUAUUGCUACACGGGAGGAGAACAGAACAACUUGGAAAAUGUGCAAGAAGGGAGAGCUAACUCAUACAACGAAGAACAAAUUGAUGAAGUUAAGAUCAAAUUAGUAGAAUUUGUGAGCUCUCCAUUAUUUAUAAUUAUAGGUAGGAAGUAUGUAUGUAAUAGAGCAAAGAUUGGUUGACUAUGUAAUAACAAUUGAAUUGUCAAGUUUUAUGAAAGAAAUAAUUUUUGCUUCUUGGGAUAGUAUUGUUAGGGUUCGGUGGCGAUUUAUUUUCCAUGUCUAAAUUGUAGUCUGUAAUGGAUGUGUGUGUAUUGUAUGUAGAUUGACUUAAUAUUGCUGUCCUAUUGCAUGUGUAUUGUACUAAUAUUGCCUGUGUAUUGUAUACAUAUUGUAUGCAUAUUGCCAUCGUAUUGCAUGUAUAUUGUAAUGCUAUUGCUAUCGUAUUGCCAUUAUAUUGCCCUAAUAUUGCCUCUCUAGUGUAUGUAUAUUGACUACGGCUCAUCAAUGGGUUUACGGUUUGGGCCAUAUUGCAUUUAAAAAUAAGACGAGGAGGAGAAAGAAACAACAUGCCUUUCAAAAACAGGCAGUCAGGUGCAUCAUAAUUGCAUCGUAAGACAUUGUAAGAAAUUAUUUUAAAAAAUAAUAACAACUAAAAAAUAAUUUACAAAAAAAGGAAGGUAUGAAUAAAGAGACAGAGAGCGAAUAAGGGGAGAAAGAGGCAGAACGAAGCUAGAGAGAGACAGAGAGAGAGCUGCGCUACAGAAAGAGAGCAAAGAGAGAGUUGCACUAGAGAGAGAGAGAGAGAGAGAGAGAGAGAGAGAGAGAGCCAAGAGAGAGAUAGAGAGCUGCGAUAGACAGAUACCAAAGAGAGAGAGAGAUGUGCUAGAGAGAGAGAGCCGAGUGAGCUAAGAGAGACAAAAUUUCUGAACAUGUGAAAAAUCAGCAAUAAGUGGACAAUAAUUAUAUUUUUAUAGGUGAUAUUGUAAUACUAUUGCUAUCGUAUUGUGGUUAUAUUGCUUUCAUAUUGCCUCUAUAGUGUACAUGUAUUGGCCUAAUAUUGCUAUCAUAUCGUAUGUCAAUGGCCAUUUGGUCUAAUAACAGAGUCUCCACUUCGUUGAAAAGUAAUCCUGAAUUCGAAUCUCAUGGACACGACAAUUGUUAUCCAUCCUUAUAUUAGCAUGAAUUGAUGUUGACCUUUGAAAUGAUAGUUGGAGUUGCACAUCGAUUCAUAUUCAAAAGGAAAGUAAUUCUCUCCCUCAAUGAAUCUUCGUUCAAAAGAAGGCAGCUAUCAAAUAUUGGUACAAAAAUGCAAGGUCCACAGUAAAUUAAUUGGACACAAACCACAUAUUACAAAACUAGGAUGAUUUUUGGCAUGCUUGAAAAGACAAGGGCCAAAUACAACAGAAAAGAAAAUCCAUUCAAGCUUCACACUAAACAUGGCUCAAGCACUCGACCAUGGUUUCAAUCCAAAACCUACCCAACAAGGGCAUACCACGUGUCCAUCAUAACAUAAUAGUGGCAUUUACAAAGCAUGAACUGCAAUAUGUUUCUUUUUCUCCUAAACAAAAUUGUUACUAAAAUGGAACAAAAGAUCCCUAACAUAGAGCAAUACAUGCAAAGAUAGUCAAUUGUCAUACACACAAAAUUAGUCCUCAUCCAUCCCUGCAUGCUGAUCUCUCUCACUAGGGCCACCUGCUGGUUUUGCCAUUAUAAUCUGCAAGAUAGUCAAAGCACUGUCAACAACCUUUUUUUAAUGAAGGUAUUAAACAUUAAAUAGGCUGCAAUCAGAUGGAUUCAUCAUUUCUCACAGAUUUUUAGCUAGCCAGAAAACCCCCAACAUAUAGAUUUUCUAUUUACUAUCCCUCCAUCCAGACCAUUGGUCAGAUGCGGUAAUGGUAUUUUUCAUAGUACCAUCUGUCAAAGUAUAUAUGACAGUUACUGACAUCAUGGAUGCACACAAAUGUUGUUUAUCUAACUCUACUGCAACUAGAGUUGUCACAAUCUUCCUCUUUCUCUUUCGAUCCAUGUCUACCCUGCCAUUAACAAUAUUGGCAAGAACAAAAUCAUAAUCUGUGACUUUCUUUUUUAUACUCAAACAUAAACUGAUUAUCAGAAAUUGCAGAACAUAGAAUUAUGGUGACAGAGAAGCACCACAUACCUGUUGGGUUGUUGUUGCUGCUGCUUAGACCCACUUUCAGCAGCUCCCUUUUGGUUCAAUAGCAAGUUUCAAUUUCAACUCAACUCUUAUGUCAAAAUUGCUUGCUACAACCUGCAAGAUAAGCAUAAUCAGCAGGAUUAAUACAAAGCAUUGUUGGCCAUGGCAUUGAAAGUUCUAAUACCAAUGAUGAGAACAGAGAGAAAUUAAAAAAAACAUUCUUUCUUAUACUCAAACAAAAACUGAUUAUUAGAUUAUAUGCAAAUUUAAUGUCAAUUCUCCAGACCACUUAAUGGCAUAAUUACUCGCUUGAAAUAGGAGAGAGAAAUACUAGAUAUGGAAUCACCUACUCCGCCAAUCAAUCUAAUUCUUGAUCUUCAUGAAUCGGAUCAAUUCAAAUACCCACGUCUUAAUAAAUACAUAGGAUGUACAGAAGACUAGCAAUACUGAUUUCAAUGCCAUGGCCUUUUUCCCUAUUUCCUUAACAGAGUUAAUAUGGGUUAAUAUUACAUGCACCCAUACAUCAUCAUAUUGGAUAUCAUGCUCUGUAACACCAGCUUGCAUCAUAUUCAACACAUUCCAAUUUGUCCAUACAUCAUUCAUGAUAAAAACACACUAUUCUUUUUGGUCUUUACAAAGAAAUUUUCGAAACAAAGGUACGAAACAAGAUAUAACACAAGUCAAAUUAAUUUGAAAGCAUAAGUUAUAUCCAUAUCACAUGUAGAUAUAAGUUAACACAGGUCUAUAGGAUGCUGAAAUAGAACAAAGUUCAAAACUUAAAAACAAAACUAAAAUAUGAUAUUCAAAAAUUCAAAUAUGACACAUCACUCUUAAAGAAUCUCACCCAGUUCAUCAUCACAAAAGUAAGAGACAAGUCUUCUCUGCAUUGCAAACAAUUCUCCCAGCAGCAUGUCAACUCAAUUGUUCAUUGCCUAUGUUUGAGAGCGGAGUUUCCUACAACCUAUUGGCAUGAAAGAGAAGAAACAGAAAUGAGGUUCAAACAUCAUAAAGCACAACCAAUUCACCUUCACAAUCAGUAUCAGCAACAAGCGCUAGAGGGAAAAGCUCACAAUCAACAAAAUUAUUGCAAGAAGAAACCAGGCAUGAAUACUGAUGAAUAACAUCACAAGUCUCAAAAACCCAGCAAAUUUUUUUUAUUUAUUCCAAUUCACACCUGCACAGCAUAAAACAGAGAAUUUAUUAACAAAACUUGCAUUAUGCUUCAAGCACAAACCCAUGUAGACAGACGCACCUGAACAGAGCAAAACCAUUCAUGAAGAAUACAUAUAUUACUAUUAAAAAUUAAAUUCUAUAAAGACAGUUGCAAAUAAAUCAAAAUAUAAAACCAACAAUAAUUGCUUUUGAACCCAACUCACUCAUAAGAGUUGGAAAAUAUCUCAUUCUUCUUCCGACAAACAAAAGAAUUAACAAAACACAAAAACCCACCCCCAUCANNNNNNNNNNNNNNNNNNNNNNNNNNNNNNNNNNNNNNNNNNNNNNNNNNNNNNNNNNNNNNNNNNNNNNNNNNNNNNNNNNNNNNNNNNNNNNNNNNNNNNNNNNNNNNNNNNNNNNNNNNNNNNNNNNNNNNNNNNNNNNNNNNNNNNNNNNNNNNNNNNNNNNNNNNNNNNNNNNNNNNNNNNNNNNNNNNNNNNNNNNNNNNNNNNNNNNNNNNNNNNNNNNNNNNNNNNNNNNNNNNNNNNNNNNNNNNNNNNNNNNNNNNNNNNNNNNNNNNNNNNNNNNNNNNNNNNNNNNNNNNNNNNNNNNNNNNNNNNNNNNNNNNNNNNNNNNNNNNNNNNNNNNNNNNNNNNNNNNNNNNNNNNNNNNNNNNNNNNNNNNNNNNNNNNNNNNNNNNNNNNNNNNNNNNNNNNNNNNNNNNNNNNNNNNNNNNNNNNNNNNNNNNNNNNNNNNNNNNNNNNNNNNNNNNNNNNNNNNNNNNNNNNNNNNNNNNNNNNNNNNNNNNNNNNNNNNNNNNNNNNNNNNNNNNNNNNNNNNNNNNNNNNNNNNNNNNNNNNNNNNNNNNNNNNNNNNNNNNNNNNNNNNNNNNNNNNNNNNNNNNNNNNNNNNNNNNNNNNNNNNNNNNNNNNNNNNNNNNNNNNNNNNNNNNNNNNNNNNNNNNNNNNNNNNNNNNNNNNNNNNNNNNNNNNNNNNNNNNNNNNNNNNNNNNNNNNNNNNNNNNNNNNNNNNNNNNNNNNNNNNNNNNNNNNNNNNNNNNNNNNNNNNNNNNNNNNNNNNNNNNNNNNNNNNNNNNNNNNNNNNNNNNNNNNNNNNNNNNNNNNNNNNNNNNNNNNNNNNNNNNNNNNNNNNNNNNNNNNNNNNNNNNNNNNNNNNNNNNNNNNNNNNNNNNNNNNNNNNNNNNNNNNNNNNNNNNNNNNNNNNNNNNNNNNNNNNNNNNNNNNNNNNNNNNNNNNNNNNNNNNNNNNNNNNNNNNNNNNNNNNNNNNNNNNNNNNNNNNNNNNNNNNNNNNNNNNNNNNNNNNNNNNNNNNNNNNNNNNNNNNNNNNNNNNNNNNNNNNNNNNNNNNNNNNNNNNNNNNNNNNNNNNNNNNNNNNNNNNNNNNNNNNNNNNNNNNNNNNNNNNNNNNNNNNNNNNNNNNNNNNNNNNNNNNNNNNNNNNNNNNNNNNNNNNNNNNNNNNNNNNNNNNNNNNNNNNNNNNNNNNNNNNNNNNNNNNNNNNCGUUCAGCAGCAACUCGGCGAGUCGACUCACCAUCCUCCCCAACUACCAACCAAGCCCCUCAUUCCAAAGGGCUCUGAAAACCUAAGAAAAAUCCAAACUUUACCAUCUUCGAAAACCCCUCAUGACCUCUCCAUAGCUCGACAUGUUAAAGCCCCUCAAAACCCCACCUCUCCUUCACCUACAAACCCUCCAUUCGCUAUUGGGUUCCCACCAUUUUAUCGAAUUCGCAUCAAGAACCAAGCUUUUCUCCCAACUCUCUCAUCCACCCUUCAAUCCUGCCCCAAACUUGGUGUUCCAAAUCCGUGACAUUCUGUGCGACCCUCAAUGGGAAAAGAGCUCAGAGCUCAGCUGGCUGAGCCCUAAGAUUAGAACCGAUCAUGUGUCAAAGAUUAUUGAGACCCACAAGAACACAGACUCGGCGUUAAGAUUCUUCUACUGGGUUUCUAAGAGACCUUCUUACCAGCAUGAUAUGAGCUGCUUCUCAUCAAUGCUGAAUAGGCUUGUGAACGAACGGCUUUUUGCGCCUGCAGACCGUGUGAGGAUUUUGAUGAUUAAAGCUUCUAGGAAGGAGGAAGAGCUUAAACGGGUAACUGAAUAUUUGAAUGAGAUGAGCCGACUUGGUUUUGAGUUUACAUUGUAUAGUUUUAAUACGCUUUUGAUUCAAUUGGGUAAGUUUGAGAUGGUUAGUAUAGCUCAAAAUGUUUAUACCCAGGUGCUAAGUAGUGGGAUUAAACCGAGUUUGUUGACAUUUAAUACAAUGCUCAAUAUAUUGUGUAAGAAGGGCAAGGUUCAGGAAGCAGAGUUGAUUUUGAGCAAGAUUUUUCAGUUUGAUAUGCUCCCGGAUGUUUUUACUUAUACAUCAUUGAUUCUUGGGCAUUGUAGAAAUCGUAACUUAGAUUUGGCAUUUGAGGUUUACGAUCAGAUGGUGAAGGCAGGUUGUGACCCGAAUUCAGUUACGUAUUCAACUCUUAUCAAUGGGUUAUGCAAUGAGGGGAGGGUGGAUGAGGCACUGGAUAUGCUUGAUGAAAUGGUAGAAAAAGGGAUUGAACCCACAUCAUAUACUUACACUGUCCCAAUUGCUUCACUAUGUGAGGCCGAUCGGCUGGUGGAAGCAAUUGGGCUUUUCAGAAGAAUGAGAAGCAGGGGUUGCCAUCCUACCGUUCAUACUUAUACAGCUUUGAUCAGUGGGUUGUCUCAGACGGGGAAACUCGAUGUUGCUAUUGGACUCUAUCACAAGCUUUUGAAGGAUGGUUUGGUCCCAAACACGGUUACCUUCAAUACAUUGAUAAAUGGAUUAAGUGAGACAGGAAGAUAUGACCUGGCUACGAAGAUUUUUUAUUGGGUGGAGAGACAUGGGACCUUGGCAAAUACCCAAACUCACAAUGAAAUCAUCAAAGUUUUCUGUUUGAUGGGUAACAUUAAUAACGCAAUGGCUCUUGUAAGCAAAAUGCUUAAAGUGGGACCAUCUCUAAAUGUGAUUACAUAUAACACACUCAUCAAUGGAUACCUCAGUGGAGGUCAGUUAAACAAUGCUAUGAGGUUGUUGGAUUUUAUGAAAGGGAGUGGAUGUGAACCAGAUGAAUGGACUUAUACUGAACUUAUUUCUGGGUUUUGCAAGGCAGGUAAGUCUGACUUUGCAUCUACUCUUUUCCGUGAGAUGGUAGAACAAAGAAUUAGUCCCAGUCAGGUUACCUACGCUGCUUUGAUUGCUGGAUACUGUAUGGAGGGGAAAGUAGAUACUGCAUUGUCAUUAUUUGAGCAGAUGGAGGAGAAGGGUUGCUGUCCAAGUAUUGAAACCUACAAUGCCAUUAUAAAUGGUUUGUCCAAAGAUAAUCAGUUUGUUAAAGCUGAGAAACUAUGUAAAAAGAUGGAAAAGCAAGGACUGGUUCCAAAUGUCAUUACCUACACGUCUCUAAUUUGCGGCCUCUGUAAAAGUGGCAGGACUGACCUUGCAUUCAAAAUCUUCCAUGAAAUGGAAGAACAAGGUUGCUUGCCGAACUUGUAUACAUAUAGCUCACUCAUGUUUGGGUUAUGUCAAGAGGGCAAGGCUGACAAUGCUGAGACGUUGCUUGAUGAAAUGGAAAGGAAAGGAUUGGCUCCUGAUGUGGUAACAUUUACCACACUCAUUGAUGGUUUUGUUAUGCUUGGUAGGCUAGAUCAUGCAUUCUUGCUUCUUAGGCGAAUGGUUGAUGUGGGCUGCAGGCCCAACUACCGAACAUAUGCCGUGUUGGUCAAAGGGUUGCAAAAGGAAAGUCAGUUGCUGACGGAGAAGGUUGUGGGGCUUGUGGCCCAACAUGAAGGAAUGUAUAGUUGCAGCUCUGGUGAAAGCUAUAACUUUUUUGAGGCGUUGUGCAAUCUCUUAGCUAGGAUGUCAGAGAAUGGAUGUGAACCUACUGUUGAUACCUAUGGUACUUUAGUGAGAGGCUUGUGUACAGAAGGCAGAUAUUAUGAGGCAGAUCAGUUGGUUCAGCAUAUGAAAGACAAAGGCCUGUGCCCCAAUAGAAGGAUUUAUCUGUCUCUAUUCUUUGUUCAUUGUACGAAUUUAAAAGUGGAAUCUGCGCUGGAAAUCUUUGGCUUGAUGGAAGAUAAUGGAUUUGAGGUUCACUUGUCAGCUUAUAACGCACUUAUUAGUGCUCUCGGCAGGGUGUGUCGGGCGGAAGAAGCUGAAACUUUAUUCAAAAGCAUGCUAGAAAAACAAUGGAAUACUGAUGAGAUUGUUUGGACUGUGUUAAUCGAUGGAUUACUGAAGGAAGGGCAAUCAGAUCUAUGCAUGAAGCUUCUUCAUGUUAUUGAAUCUCAAAAAUGCAGUAUCAGUUUCCAGACAUAUGAUAUCUUGGCCAGAGAACUUUCUAAAGUAAACAAGGGUAGGGGGAGUUCUCAAAUUGUUAACAGAGCAAGUGAUUUAAAGGGUGUACAUUGAUCAUGGUUUCUUUAUACACACAGAGAAAAAGGAAAUUCGUUAACUGAGUUCCAUUAAUGAACUAAUAAGAAAUUAUACUUUUUUCGCCUGAGGUGUGUAUAUAUUCUUUUGCUGUGACAACUUUGCAGUUUGAUCAUACAAUAAAUGGUAUGUAGAUGGCGCUUUGCCUUCAAACCUUGUUAACAUUCGUUUCUUUCUAUUACUGUCUUUGGUGAUUAUCAGAAUACUUUAGUUCUGUUGGCUUUUGAUUAAUUUGGUCGCAAUAUUUUCCCAAUAGUCACCAAGAAAAUUCGAUCGAUGGUUACUAAGUUUGUUAUCCUAUCUACAUGGAAGUGACAGGUUGUUUUCAGUAGAUAAUUGUCUUCAGUUGGAACUGAAAAUCUGGUGUGCAUGAAGCAGCAACCUAAGGUAGACAUGUAGGUUUGUUUAGACAAAGUAUAAAUGAAUGAUAUUUGCCAUUUAUGUGGGUUGAUGGUUGGUGCAGGACUGUGUGUACUGUUUGGCAAUUGAUUUAGGGGUUAGGAUAAUUUCUGCCUAUGCAGGCUUUUUAAUUACAUGGAUUAUCUUAUGUAGGAAGGCUUCUUAAUACAGAAAUGGUGAUGUGUGUGAUCAUCUAGGCAGGCUUCUUAAUUACAUGGAUAAUCUUCUUUAUGGUGCUCAUUUGGUUGGUUUUCAUUGUUUGACAUGCUUACACCAUAUUUAUUCUGGCUUAGUGUUUAUAAAAUGGAAUUGAGAGCUAGACAUUCUUGGCAUAUAUACUUGCAGGUGACACAGCUUGGACGUCCCCUAGUGGAAAGUUUCCUCUUUCCUCUGAAAAUUUUGACAAGAAGAUGUUAAGAUACACCUUGUUUGAUACCUAUGUUGGUUUAUUUCGCUGUCGUUACCUCAUACAAUUUUGAUUCAUUGUAUUCUUUACACCAAGAGUCAUUUAUAAAAUAUACCUCAGUUUUACAAUAGCAUAUGUUAUGGUUCAUUUAGUAAAUUUUGGUUUUAUGUUUUAGUUUUAGCUUUGAUGGUCAAAAUCAUCCUCUUCUUUUUUUGAUCUCUCUCUCGUCUCUUUUUUCCUUCUCUCUGUUAUUCUUUUCAUAAGAAAAAGAAAUAUAGAAACUAAAAGCAAAAAAUCUAACCAAAUUCCCAUGGGAUGGUCUCUUGAUUCUGUAUCGGCAAGUAUAACUAUUUUACUGUGAAUUAUCAACAAAAAGUAAUCUGCAGUUGCCACUGAUUUAAAUCAACUUAAAUAAUGUCUGUGAUUCAGAAUUCCAGGAUAAAUUAUGCUUUGUAGUUGACGUGAUGAAAUUAAUUUAAUUAGACAUUUUUGGUGUAGGGUUACUCAGGUCCUAAAUCGAGCUUAAUUUCGCACCAGGGCUCUUAGAAAGAACUACUGGCCAAGAUUACCGAACUUAGUCCACUUUUUGUAAUCUGCCUCUGAGUGUUCUAAUGCAAAUGCCAGUAUGUGUGGCCACUUUCCGAAUGUGGUGUUCAAUUUUUUUAAUUUUCCCAAAGGAUGAUAGUACUCUAAAUCUUUGUAGGGUUUUUUAUUGGGGUCGAGAUGAGCUCAGAGUUCGCUUUUUUGUCACUUUCUUUGUGUUUUGCUGAUCUUUGCCUAGUAUUUGCUGGGAUUCCCACUCCUUAAAUGAAGAAGGGUGGAAUGAAUAAAGGCUUGGUUCAUGCAUGAAGACCCUAAUAUUUCCUAUACACAAGUGAUAUUUUAUGGGUAUGAACUAUAUUGUGGAUCAAUCUAGAAAGGUAAAAACGCAUUCAUUAUGGUGUGAGUUCUAGUGUUCUCACCUUUCCUCCAAGUCUAAACCUAUACAAACCCCCGAGUAUGAGAAACCCUUUGAGUGAAAAGUAAAUUAUUAUGUGUAUGCAAGAGAGAAUUUUGUGGUGAAAAUCCCUGGAGGUGAUUUUGGAAGAAACUCUGGCUUCCCGGCAGUCAGUUCUUGUGAGAUUGUUCCUUUGUAAUCCUUGGUAUCUUCUAGUCCUGUCCACAAAAAAAUUCUUGUAAUUCCAUCAUUUUAUAUAGAAAAGAAGAAUUUGUUCCUGUCCUUCUACUAUUCAGUGGACAAAAGGCUCAAAUGCUAAGGAUGUAAUUCCAUUGUUUUUAUGUUUGAUGAUGUUUGCCUGUUUUGGCCAUACAAGGAUGGGAAAGUUUGAUCUUGAGUUUGCUAAUUGUCUUUUGGCAUUGUAUUAGGUGACUCUGGUUCUCAAAUGUAUAAUGGUUCAACCCCAGUUUCCAAUCCUAUCAUGGAACUGAAAAAUAAAUUUCUAAAAUUUUUGAUUGAGCCUGCAGUGUCUGAAAAAUUAUAACCACAUGCCACCAAUCUGAUUAUAUUCGUCCAAUUUGCAGUAGAUUUUCUAUCUCCGAACCUCUCUACUAAAACCCUGCAAUUAACUGAUCAUGCAUAUUGUAAGUAGUAAACUACUCUGAAAAUGAGGUUCUAAGUUGAAAUCUUUCUUCCUCUAAUAAACGAAUAAAAACUUAUAGUUCAUGAAAGGAUGAAAUUAAAAUUAGUUAGUUUAAAGAUGUGGUUGAAGCUAUAGAUAAAUGGAUCAAAAAAAUCAGUUUUUUUUUUUGGGUAAAUAAUAAAUAUACUAAACCGGGGUUGGGGAAAUUCUCAUAUCAAGAAGAAACUAAAGAGAAACCUAUCAGAACCACAUGGUGUGGUGCGGUUGGUAAAGUGUCACCUCCAGUUGACGAGUUACCUAUUGCCUCAUUAGCAUGGGUUCGAAACCCGUUAGAGGUACUUUGUGGUCAGGGAAAGCCGAAUCCCGAGCGGGGAUUAAUCUCAUCCUUUGAAUGCGAGGACAUCUCGUGGUAUUUAUCCAAAAAAAAAACAGAAGGGAAAAAAACCUAUCUGUAACUAAGAGAUGUGAGUUUCCAUGCAUUUCAGUAAAUAUAACAAAAUAGUUUUAAACUUUUGAAGAUUCUAGUUUCAUAAGACAUUGAUAUACUUGUCUAAUCGUAUCAUUUUCUCUCCAAAAAAAUCAAUAAUAAAUAAAUGAUAUUCUCCUACUACUGGUUUUUGGGUUCAAGUGCUUGGUUUUCAAGGAAGAAAACAAAGGGGGGCCAUCCACUACCAGAAAGGUUUAUGCUUUUGUUGAUUGAUUCUUGACAGAAUCUCUGGGUUGCUUGGACCCCCACAUGGCCUCCAUUAUAUGACUUGCUCUUUGUCACGCAUGAGCAAUUAUUGGCUCUUUGGUCAGUGUACCAUUUUGUAGUUAUACUCAAUCAUUUCAUACAAAAACCAUUAUCAUUUCAACUCUGCAAGCAUCUCUCAACUUUGUUAUUUUCUUUUCUUUUCUUGUUGCUGCAAAACCAUUCUGAGUUUUUGUUCUUGGGUUUUAUAAAGAAAUUAAUUUAAAAAUAUAAAUAAAUAAAUAUAUAUAUAUAUAUUUAUAACCCUUGUGAAUUUAUAAUAGUUGAAGCCUGAUUCAACUGGUUUGAUCACUUUCCACCAAAUAAAAAAUAAAAAAUCAAGGCCUUGCUCAGCACCAACGUUGCCCUUUUUCUCUGCUGCCAUAGGUCAACUACCAGUUUCUAACAAAACAACUCCAAAUCUGAGUAUAAAUGCUAAAAGGGCUCUGUUGUAUUCUGCAUAUAUUCUCUGUUUCCUUCCUCAUUUCAUGCAAACCUAUCCUAUCUCGUAGACCCCAAAAACAAGCAACAAUAAGAAUGGUAGGUCUCAGUUUUGGUGUGUAAAUUGACCACAAAACUUAAAGAUGUAAAUGACAAACAGAAAUGUAGCCUCUGGUUUAGUGAGCUUUUAUUAUAUUUCUAAUGCCAGCCCUUCUUCAGCUGCAUAUACAAAGUGCAUGAAAAAUGCAGGGCAAGGAAGGAUGCCUUUGUAUUUUUUUCCAUGUGCAAAGGGUCCCCAUAAAAAACAUCAGUACUUCAAAUAUAUUCCUUCUGAUCUUUGUCUUUUCUAUGCAUCCCCAUCUUCAAUUCAUGAACUUCAUUUUCAAAAGGCCAAGACUUUGAAGGCCAGGUUUCAUAGCAGGUACAAAAAAGAAUCAAUAUUCCCCCAAAGGCCACAUAAAGAUAAAUCAGAGUCAUCGAUGCCAACAGUGUCUUAAAAGACAACAAGACACAAAGCAUGACCUAACAUUUGAUGCUUCCAAACUCCAUUCCAACUGCUACUUCCAUUUUCAUUUUGGACUGUUUUUCUUGCACUCUUGCUUUUUCAAAAAGUGCUUUUGCCUACCCAUCCACCAACCCAGCCUUCUCUAGACUAGCCUUUAAAUCUUUCCCUUUGGAUUUUUGUUGCACAGCAGCCGAUUCUUAUUUAUAUUACAUCAUCCAAAAUAAACUACAAAAACCCAAUUUGCACAUUUUAAUGCCAAACUGAACACAACCCUUGUGCUAUAUAAACACAUCCAAUGCAUUUUGCCCCUUCAGCACCAAUUAUAGCAAAAAACAACAAAAACACCACCAACCCUUCAAGGCUUCAAAGUUCAUCAAACUCUGGUUUUCAAUGGGUAGGGAAAGUUCUGAUCCCACUGUGGUUAGUUCCUCCAUUGCUCUCUUACAAGAGAGGUUCAGACAGUUGCAGAAAGUGAAGGAGAGGAGGGAGGAGCAGCAGCUUCUGAAGAUGUUAUCUGAGACUGAUCAUCAUCAUCAAGGGGUUGGCUCAAUAAGGCAUUUUGAGCCUGCAAAAUUCUCUAUCCAAUCUGAUAUGGCCAGGCCAAGCUCUCCUGCAGAUCACUCACUCUCUCUGGGGCUUAAUUUGCAGACUAGACAAAUUGAUCAUUGUGCCAUGAAGACACAGCCUACCACAAUCUCAUGGCCCAACAAUACAACAGCUGCCUCAGCAUCAAGUGCUUCAAAAUGUUUUGACAAUUCAGACCUUGACACCUCUCUUCAUCUGUAGACAAAUCCUGGGUUCACUUUCUUCGUGGCUUCUCCAUGUUUCCUUUUUUUGUAUGUAAUAUUAGAAGAGUAUGUAACUAAUAUAACUAAUGUUUAUUCAUCUGAAAUAAUGAGAUAAAUAAAAGAAGAAAUGGAGCAGCAAUAUGCUAGCUGCUCUUCUCUUCAAUUUUUUGGCCCUUUUGUUGGUUUUGCUUAACAACAUUAACAAAUCAUGGGGACUAUAGAGAGAUUCAUAAUCAAGAAAAAUGGAUUGGGAGGUGAUGGGUUUCUUUUGUUCUGUUAAAAAAAAUAAUAAAAACAACUUCUGAAGAUUCAUAUCAACAUAUAUAUGUUCUUUUCUUAUAUUGAUUUUGAGUUUGUGAAGACUGAUGGUGAUGAACAAAAAAGUCAGCAAGGCCUGCUAGAUUCCUCAUAAACUUACCAUGCAGAUGUACUCAGUUAGAAAUUCCUAACACCACUGAUUGUUUAUGCUUUCUAUGGAUUACUUUCGGAGCAAAUACUUGGAACCAGAUAUUAUUAUUAGAGUUCUAGCUCUUGCUAGUGUAUUUUUAAUGAACCUUUCCUAUAAUAAGCAAAUUCUCAUAGCAACAUGGUCAGAUCUUUUAGGAAAAUGAAGUGCUAAUAAAUUGAAAUCUCCUGAUAACCAAGUUGUGAAGGUUAAUUUUCAUGUAUAUGUUAAGAAUAGGAAUAGCCUUUGAGAAAGAGAAAUAAAUCAAGGCAUAGUGAAAUUUCUAUUUUGUUAUAUUGGAAGUUAUCAUACUUUAACCUAUUCCAAAAGCCAACGGGCUUUAGCCCAGUAGAAAAUGAAUUUCACUUGUAGACCAGUGGUCUCAGGUUCAAAUCCUUAUGACACCUUAGUAUUGUGCGUGCCAUAUUUGGCUCUCUCCCUACUAUCGCUUGUAUUAAAAAACAUAUUCAAAAAGAAAGCAACUAUUACUGAGUCUAACUAGGCCGAGAACAGUUGUUAUUACUGAGGUGCUCCCUCUUAUUACUGAGAUUUUAGUUGAUGAUGCUUGUAUUUUGGCUAGGCCUAAAAUGUUUGCUAUUUAUUUCUCCACUUCAAUUUUAUCCACUUACACUCCUUUUUUAGUUAUAAAAUGGAGUGUAAGUGGAUAAAAUUGGAGUGGAGAAAUCACCACUCUUAUAUUUUUAAGUAAUAAUCUAAAUUAUACUAAAUUAAUUUAAUUUAUGAGAAUAUAAAUUCGAACUUGGGGAUUCGAUUUUUUUUUUUUUUUAAAAGUGAAAUAAAAAAUUUCAGUCACAAAUGAUUGACCCAAACUGAUCUGCAAUCUGGGCAGGGUAUUUAGCUGAGACUAAAUGAGUUAUUGGGCUCAUAUCAAAAGCGCCUACAAACCUAACCACUCAAAAUACACAAUAAUAGAAAAAUUUUAGUUUCAUCAUUUUAUUGAAGUACCAAAUUGCCCUUAUCGUCUCCAGAACCUUCCCAAACCCCCUCUCCGCGUCUCUCUAUCAGAAACCCCAACUAAAACCCUAACACCUCUCUCCACUCUUUAUCCCUCUGUCACUCACAACUCAUUGCUCUCUCUCCAUCUCUUGGCCUUCGCCAUCCAUCUAUCUAUCUCAAACCAAUAUGCAUAGGCUUCCUCGACGCUCCGUCUCCGCUAUCCUGCGCCACGGCGGCGCACGUCACCGGACCACCGCUGCUCCAAUCUCCUGCGCUUCUACCCACUUGGGUUCGGUGCGUUCUCUAUAACUCUUGGGUUUAGCUUUUUACGCUUUGAGAAAAUGAUUAUAUAUAAAAAAUCAUCUGAAUUUUUAUGUGUAUUUGUGUAGGUGGGAGAAACUGAUGCCAAAGUGAGAUGGCACUCAGCGUUGGCCUCUGGGAAGUUUAACCCUUGCAAACCCACGGCUCAGUUUGCCUCCAACAAUGGACUGUGCUUUGGCAACCGGUUUGAGUCCACUGCUGCAGCCUCUGAUGCAUCGGCCGAGCCUCCCGCUGAGAGAUUCGAGUAUCAAGCUGAAGUAAUGUCAUUUCACCUGUUGGGUAUUUUUUAGAUUGAUUUUGAGGAUCAAUGGUUUUGAGAGUGUUGUUUUCUUCAUGGUUACAGGUCAAUCGCCUCAUGGACCUCAUUGUUAACAGCUUGUACAGUAACAAGGAGGUGUUUCUUAGAGAGCUUAUCAGGUACCUAUUUGGUAUAUCUGAUAUUAUGUAGUAUUGAUUGUCAUUUCUUUCCUAUUGGGUUACCUUGAGAGUCCGAAAAUUGCGAUUGGACAGGUGGAGCCUGAAUUGAUCAUACAUUGGAAUUUGAGUUAACAGUACUAAACACACAUUGGAAUUCAAGAAAUAGUUGUUGUGUUUGAUUUAGGUGGCACUAAGUUAUUUAGCGUAUGAUAUGUUGACAUUAUGAAUUUUUCUGCAGCAAUGCAAGUGAUGCCUUGGACAAGCUCAGGUUUCUCAGUGUUACGGAGCCUGAUCUUUUGAAGGGUGGAGGUGAUCUUGAUAUCCGUAUCCAGACUGAUAAAGACAAUGGGAUCAUACAUAUCAUGUAAGCUUAACUGGUUUUUACAGUAUUUUCUUUCCCUUAAUGAUUCUUCUUCACCAUAUCAAUGGUGUGGUCUUUCCCUUUGUGUGAAGUGAUUCUGGUAUUGGUAUGACUCGGCAAGAACUUGUUGACUGCCUGGGAACAAUUGCACAAAGUGGGACCGCAAAGUUCUCAAAGUUGUUGAAGGUAUAAUAAGUCUUUGAGAUAUUGUAAGUUAUUUGAAUUUGAGAUCCUGCAUUGAGGUAUUUUAUAUGCUUACAAAUUUGGUUUAUCAGGAUAGUAAAGAUGCGGGUGGUGACAACAAUUUGAUUGGUCAGUUUGGUGUUGGCUUUUACUCGGCAUUCCUUGUUGCUGAUCGGGUAAGUUCUUAACCAGAAAACUGUGAGCUCCUACGACUUUUAAUCCGUUGCUUUCUUCUUUCAGUCAAGUGGCUGAAUAUAUAAUAGUGUUGGGGUAGUCCUCCCACUCCCCAAGUUUCUGCCUACCCUUUCCAUUAAGAGUUGAAACUUGUGUAUAGAAAUAUCUGAACUGCUCGAUUGUUAUGCACCUCCUGUGGGUUGUAGGUUGUCGUCUCCACAAAGAGCCCAAAAUCUGACAAACAAUAUGUAUGGCAAGGAGAGGCAAAUGCUAGCUCGUAUACAAUUCAGGAGGAGACUGACCCUGAGAAGCUUAUUCCUAGAGGAACCCGCCUGAGCUUGUAUCUCAAGGUCAGUGUAAAACAUUUUUUAACUUAUGAAUAAAUAAAUAAAACCCUGUAUAAUUUGCCUAUGACUUUGAUCUCCAAGCUAAUUCUUUAUCUGUCUGGCUACUUUCAGCGUGAUGACAAAGGUUUUGCUGUUCCAGAACGGAUACAGAAGCUUGUGAAAAACUAUUCACAGUUUGUUUCUUUUCCUAUAUACACUUGGCAGGAAAAGGGGUACACUAAAGAGGUAAGAGUUUUUUCCCCAUCUUCUCAAUGCUUGUACUUUUGUCAUUGGUUUUGUAUGUUGUAUGUUCAGGGAAAUUAUUGGGGACGAUUUCAUUUCAGGUUGAGGUUGAUGAGGAUCCAGCUGAAUCCAAAAAGGAUGGAGAAAAUGAGAAAACCGAGGUACAAAAGAAAAAAACGAAGACUGUUGUUGAGAAAUACUGGGAUUGGGAGCUCACUAAUGAGACACAACCAAUAUGGGUGAGCCUUAACAGUUUCUUCUUUGUAUGUUUACUCUGCUUUUUAUGGCAGUAACUUUUUUAUGCUCACAUGAUUCCAAUUGAUAUGUACAGCUUCGCAAUCCUAAGGAAGUCACUACGGAGGACUACAAUGAGUUCUACAAGAAAACUUUUAAUGAAUACUUGGAUCCACUAGCAUCUUCGCAUUUCACAACAGAGGUAUUUUAUGACUAUUAAGAUCCUCAACAAAUGCCACUUGUAGUAGAAUUUUGAAGUAAAUGUUGCAUAUUUCUGUAUUAUCACAUGAUGUCUGCUUCUUGAGUUGGAUAAAAGUUGUGUGGAGUUGACAAUAACUAAGUUAACUAUGGGUUUUUUUGUUGUAGAAUUUUUAUAAUUGCAUAUUUGUGGUAUAGUGGCAACUAUCAUGAUGUCUUCUUAAGUUGGGUAACAAAUGGGUGUUAUCUAAAUUUGAAUGACAAUUGAAAAUACAGCAUUAGUGCCUGAAGUUAGGAUGAAAUGUGUAGUUCUGUUUGACAAUGUACUCGUACUUAAUUGCUCAUAUAUUCUGCUUUUAAGUUGAAGAGGUUGGUAUUUGCAGGGUGAAGUAGAAUUCAGGUCUAUUCUGUAUGUUCCAGCGGUUGCUCCUAGGGGGAAGGAUGACAUAGUCAACUCCAAGACAAAAAAUAUAAGCCUCUAUGUGAAAAGGGUGUUCAUUUCAGAUGAUUUUGAUGGAGAACUGGUAAACAAAAUAAAGACAUUUUUACAACAGAGUAAUGCAUGGUUCUCUUAAAUGGAAGCUUAUUGGUUCUAAUUGCUUUUACAUUCCCUUUUGAGUAGUUCCCUCGAUACUUGAGCUUCGUCAAAGGUGUUGUGGACUCAAAUGAUCUUCCACUCAAUGUUUCACGUGAAAUUCUUCAGGAGAGUCGUAUUGUAAGUACAUCUAGCACACUGUCGUUUUAACCUUUAGGUUCCAAUUAGUUUACUUUAAACAAACUGUUGUUUCUGUGAUCUACUUGAAGGUACGGAUUAUGAGGAAGCGCUUGGUUCGGAAGGCCUUUGAUAUGAUCCUGGGAAUAUCCAUGAGUGAGGACAGAGCAGUAUGUUUUUGCUUCUGUUUUCUUAUCAUCCUUUUUUGUUUGUAUGUUUUCAGUCUUGUGGAAUUAUGGUACAAAUUUCAACAUCUUGGCAAUUACUCCUCAGCCAUGUCUUGUUCCUGAGUCCUGUAGCUGUGACUCUGAAUCCUGAUGUUUUCCAACCCCUCUGCUGCUUGGGGUAGCGAAUGAUAUUGCCCCUCUACGUUCUUUAAAGAUAUCCUUUGUUGUUUAUUGCAGGAUUAUGAAAAGUUCUUCGAAAAUUUUGGAAAGCAUUUGAAACUGGGUUGCAUUGAAGAUCGUGAAAAUCAUAAGCGUAUUGCUCCAUUGCUUAGAUUUUUCUCUUCCCAAAGUGAGGAUGUGAUGAUCAGCUUGGAUGAAUAUCUUGAGAACAUGAAACCUGAGCAGAAGGGUAUCUAUUACAUUGCUUCUGAUAGUGUAGAAAGCGCAAGCAAUACACCAUUCCUGGAAAAACUUCUUGAGAAGAAUUUCGAAGUAUGUUUUGCCUCUCAAAUAAUUUGAUAUAUUUGAUUAUGCUGUUUUAUGUAUUUAUGGAUGAUUUUUGUUGUGCUAUUCUUGUAGGUGUUGUACUUAGUUGAUCCAAUUGAUGAGGUUGCCAUCCAGAACCUGGAAUCUUACAAGGAGAAGAAAUUCCUUGAUAUUAGCAAGGAAGAUCUGGAUUUAGGUUAGUUCAUUGGAGCCCUUUGAGUUGAUCCGAUUGACUUGACAUUCUUGCUUCUUUGAUUAUGUUUCCUUUGCUAAGGAAAUCUGAUAUGUAUGAAUGACCUUUCUGCAGGGGAUAAGAAUGAGGAAAAAGAAAAGGAGAUUAAGCAGGAAUAUGGCCAAACAUGUGAUUGGAUUAAGAAACGUUUGGGUGACAAAGUUGCCAGUGUUCAGAUUUCAAACCGUCUUAGCUCGUCACCCUGCGUUCUUGUAUCUGGGAAGUUUGGUUGGUCUGCCAACAUGGAGAGGUAGAGUCCCUCUGUUGCUGAAUACAUAUGUCAAGAAUUCAUAUUACAGAACCUGAUUGUUAUCCUCUAAACUUGUGAUUGGACGUUUCCAGGUUGAUGAAGGCACAAACUGUUGGUGAUACUUCUAGCCUUGAGUUUAUGAGAGGCAGGAGGGUGUUUGAGAUUAAUCCUGAGCACCCAAUCAUUCAAAACUUGAAUGUACGUUUGCACGGAGAAAGCUACUCUCCCCAACUCUCCCAAUCUUAGAAGACUAUGGUUUUAGAAAAUACAGUAACAUUUUAAUCCUGGUUUGCAGGCUGCAAGCAAGAUCAACCCGGAUGAUGAAGAUGCUAUUAGAGCUAUUGAUCUUUUGUAUGAUACAGCUUUGGUGUCUAGUGGUUUUACCGUGAGUAUUCAAGCUUGCUUCACAUCUCUUGUUAAAACUGCUCUUAGGAUUAUAUGAUCUAUAGCAACCAUUCUUCAUUGUAACUUGACCAUUAAGAAAUCCUAGGCCCUGAAAUGAAAAUGCACUUGACCUCGUGGUUUGGUGAAAAUGAGAAUUGCUUUUUUGGAUUUGAAGGUGCCACUAUUUGUUGGUUUGAGACACUAACGCUACAGACAAGUAUCACUCUCUAGGAAUCUGUUGUAGCCCAUGCUAAGGAUGAUGAUUUGCAUGCUUAUUUGAUCAAUGUUUGAUCUUCUUACACAUUCAACUUGUAUGUCUUGUUGAUGCAGCCUGAGAAUCCAGCACAGCUGGGUGGAAAGAUAUAUGAGAUGAUGGGUUUGGCUCUUUCUGGGAAAUGGUCUACACCUGUCGCCGAGGUUCAGCAACCAGGACGCCAACACCACAACCCAGAGACGUUAGAGGCUGAGGUUCAGCAUCCAGGAACCCCACAUCACAACACCAAGAUAUUAGAGGCUGAGGUGGUUGAGCCUGUUGAAGCUGGUACCCAGAAAUGAGGAGCAAGAGGCAUUUUUCCUUUUUGACACUAAAUUCUCUUUCUCAUGCACAAAAUUCAGUGGGUAGGUCUUUUAGUGGUGCAGUUGAUAAAUGUCUGGACAUGAGUGUUAGAUAUAUAUAUAUUUGAGGGAGCUGGUGACCAGAAAUAAGAGCACAAAGCAACUUUCAUUUUUUGGUACCAAAUUUUCUUACAAAAUUUCAGUGGUAGGGCUGGCUGGUGGUGUUCAUAUAUGGAGACGAGUGUUAUGAUAUAUUUGAUGGACGUAGGCUGUUUGGCUGAACUCUAUGGGAUUACUUAAUAAUCUUAUGGUUAUUUUGACUAAUUCCUUUCUCUUUAAUUUGUACUUGUUUUAGUUUGUCUUUUAUUUAACUAAUGUGCAGCAUCGGAUUGAUCUGCUAUAUUCACCCCAAGACUGCAGAUAUUAUUUCCAUAUGACAUCAUUUUAAAUUCCGAGCCUCUUUAUUUAGCAUCAGUGCAUUUAUACGCGUUUAGAAAAAUCUAAACUCUUUAAUUGAUCUAAUGGAAUUUAAUUAUUUCACAUCAGCACAAUUGUAUUAGAUUAAAAAGUCUCCUUUUGCACUGUAUCACUUACUCAUCUAUUCCCCCUUCUCUCCUGUAAUCGCAUCAUAAUUAUCAAAAGCUGGAAUUUGAUCCCCAGAUCAAUUCGACAUGGCUCAUACCAAUAAAUUAUCUUUUUUAAUGUAUUAAUUUUGACUUAAAUAUGAUAUAUGAAUUAGUUCUCAUAAAAAAAAAAAAAAAUGGCUCAGAAUCCUUAAAAAUUGGUUCUCAUAGAUAGUCUGAUUCUAAUUUGUUAAUGGUGCAGUUUGCAAGGAAUAUAAUGUGAAACUAAUAUUUAUUUUCAAAUUUGAUCAAUCAAAAUUAUUCAAGUAUUAAGUGAGAUAAAUGUUUCCUAAAAUAUAAUUUUAAUUUUCCAUGUAUGCUACGGCAUUUGGCAAAGAAACAUGUGCAAAAGUCAAGCAGGCCAAGCAGUGAAGUUACCAUUUUGACCUUGACAGUACAACGUGUCGUGAACGACGUGACUGGUCAGCAAAUAAAAAACAAUACAAGAAACGUGCUAAGCCAGUCAAUUCCAACCCAAGACCGGCUGAGCCGGUCACCCCCAACGUUAAAAGUCUUCACUUUCCCGGUAAAAACACCGUUGCCGUGUCCCAGGGGCAAAAUGGGAAAACCACCUCUUCAUAAAAAGUGAAUUAAACUUCCCAAUCUGUCUCCGCGUCUGCUCUCGUCUUCUCUACUGAGCUGAAUUUCUCUCGGGCUUCGUCUGGUAAGCACUCUCUCUCUCUCUCUCUCUCUCUCUCUCUCUCUCUCUCUCCCCUUCUCUCUUUGUUCCUUCUGUUUGGUCGCUGAGAAAAUCGUAGAAAAUGAAAGAAAUUUUGUUUAGUUGGCAUCGAAUUUGUUGCUGUUGAUCUAAGAAUUUAACGAAAAGUCCACACUGAACAAAGGCAAG